rnacentral:tRNA from 1 species
UAAGAAGUGGUGUAAGGGGAACACCUAGAGUUUUGAUCUCUUGAAUGUGGGUUCGAAUCCCCCCUUCUUAA